rnacentral:rRNA from 1 species
AUUGAACGCUGGCGGCAGGCCUAACACAUGCAAGUCGAGCGGAUGAAGGGAGCUUGCUCCUGGAUUCAGCGGCGGACGGGUGAGUAAUGCCUAGGAAUCUGCCUGGUAGUGGGGGAUAACGUCCGGAAACGGGCGCUAAUACCGCAUACGUCCUGAGGGAGAAAGUGGGGGAUCUUCGGACCUCACGCUAUCAGAUGAGCCUAGGUCGGAUUAGCUAGUUGGUGGGGUAAAGGCCUACCAAGGCGACGAUCCGUAACUGGUCUGAGAGGAUGAUCAGUCACCCUGGAACUUGAACACGGUCCCAGCUCCUACGGGGGGCAGCAGUGGGGAAUUUUGGACAAUUGGCGGAAACCCGAUUCAGCCAUGGCGCGGGUGUGGAGAAAGUCUUUCGAUUGUAAAGGACCUUUAGUUGGGAGGAAGGGCAGUAAGUUAAUACCUUGCUUUUUUGACCUUACCCAAAGAAUAAGCCCCCGCUAACUUCCUU